CCUACGGGUGGCAGCAGUGGGGAAUAUUGCGCAAUGGGCGAAAGCCUGACGCAGCGACGCCGCGUGAGGGAUGAAGGUCUUCGGAUCGUAAACCUCUGUCAGCAGGGAAGAACGGUCACUGUGCUAAUCAGCAGUGAAUUGACGGUACCUGCAAAGGAAGCACCGGCUAACUCCGUGCCAGCAGCCGCGGUAAUACGGAGGGUGCGAGCGUUAAUCGGAAUUACUGGGCGUAAAGCGCUCGUAGGCGGUAUGUCAAGUCAAGGGUGAAAUCCCCGCGCUCAACGUGGGAACUGCCUUUGAAACGGGCAAACUGGAGUGGGUGAGAGGAGAGUGGAAUUCCAGGUGUAGGAGUGAAAGCCGUAGAUAUCUGGAGGAACAUCAGUGGCGAAGGCGACUAUCUGGCACAUAACUGACGCUGAGGAGCGAAAGCGUGGGUAGCAAACAGGAUUAGAUACCCUUGUAGUC
rnacentral:rRNA from 1 species